rnacentral:rRNA from 1 species
UACGUAGGGUGCAAGCGUUAAUCGGAAUUACUGGGCGUAAAGCGUGCGCAGGCGGCUUUGCAAGACAGAUGUGAAAUCCCCGGGCUCAACCUGGGAACUGCAUUUGUGACUGCAUAGCUAGAGUACGGUAGAGGGGAUGGAAUUCCGCGUGUAGCAGUGAAAUGCGUAGAUAUGCGGAGGAACACCGAUGGCGAAGGCAAUCCCCUGGACCUGUACUGACGCUCAUCGCACGAAAGCG